GCCGGGUUCGGUGGCAUGUGCCUGUAAUCCAAGUCACUGGGAGGCUGAGGUUGGUGGAUCAAGUGAGCUGAGGAGCUCUGGGCUGCAGCACGCUAUGUCGAACGGGUGUCCACGCUAAGUUCGGUAUCGAUAUGGUGUUCCUGGGGGAGCCCGGGACCACCAGGUUGUCUAAGGAGGGGUGAACCGGCCCAGGUCGGAAACGAAGCAGGUCAAAUCCCCCGUGCUGUCCAGUAGUGGGAUAAUACCUGUGGCAAAACCUGUGGCAGCCUUGGCAAAACAUCGAUACCUAAUCUUUU
rnacentral:SRP_RNA from 13 species